GGCUAUGAUUCAGUGGCAGAGCAUCUGCUUUUCAUGCAGAAGGUCCCAGGUUCAAUUCCUGGCAUCUCCA
rnacentral:tRNA from 1 species